rnacentral:rRNA from 1 species
AUACGGAGGAUCCGAGCGUUAUCCGGAUUUAUUGGGUUUAAAGGGAGCGUAGGCGGGAGAUCAAGUCAGCUGUGAAAUGUAGAUGCUCAACAUCUGCACUGCAGUUGAAACUGGUUUUCUUGAGUGCGUAAGGGGCAGGCGGAAUUCGUCGUGUAGCGGUGAAAUGCUUAGAUAUGACGAAGAACUCCGAUCGCGAAGGCAGCCUGCCGGGCCGCGACUGACGCUGAAGCUCGAAGGUGCGGGUAUCGAACAGGAUUAGAUACCCUGGUAGUCCGCACAGUAAACGAUGGAUACUCGCUGUCGGCGAUAUACGGUCGGUGGCCAAGCGAAAGCGUUAAGUAUCCCACCUGGGGAGUACGCCGGCAACGGUGAAACUCAAAGGAAUUGACGGGGG